UGGGGAAUCUUGCGCAAUGGGCGAAAGCCUGACGCAGCGACGCCGCGUGCGGGAAGAAGGCCUUCGGGUUGUAAACCGCUUUCAGGAGGGACGAAGCCACUCGGGUGAAUAGCCCAGAGGGUGACGGUACCUCCAGAAGAAGCCCCGGCUAACUACGUGCCAGCAGCCGCGGUAAUACGUAGGGGGCAAGCGUUGUCCGGAUUCAUUGGGCGUAAAAGAGCGUGUAGGCGGCCAGGUAGGUCGGUUGUGAAAACUGGAGGCUCAACCUUCAGACGUCGACCGAAACCAUCUGGCUAGAGUCCGGGAGAGGAGAGUGGAAUUCCUGGUGUAGCGGUGAAAUGCGCAGAUAUCAGGAAGAACACCCGUGGCGAAAGCGGCUCUCUGGAACGGUACUGACGCUGAGACGCGAAAGCGUGGGGAGCGAACAGGAUUAGAUACCCGUGGUAGUCCACGCCGUAAACGAGUGGGCGCUAGGUGGUGGGAGGUGU
rnacentral:rRNA from 1 species